CAAGGAAUCUUGGGCAAUGGGCGAAAGCCUGACCCAGCGACGCCGCGUGAGGGAUGACGGCCUUCGGGUUGUAAACCUCUUUUCUCAGGGAAGAAUAAUGACGGUACCUGAGGAAUAAGUCUCGGCUAACUACGUGCCAGCAGCCGCGGUAAUACGUAGGAGGCGAGCGUUAUCCGGAUUUAUUGGGCGUAAAGUGGGCGUAGGUGGUCUUUCAAGUCGGAUGUGAAAUCUCCCGGCUCAACUGGGAGGGGUCAUCCGAUACUGUUGGACUUGAGUACAGCAGGGGAAAAUGGAAUUCCCGGUGUAGUGGUGAAAUGCGUAGAUAUCGGGAGGAACACCAGAGGCGAAGGCGAUUUUCCAGGCUGAAACUGACACUGAGGCCCGAAAGCGUGGGGAGCGAACAGGAUUAGAUACCCUGGUAGUCCACGCCUUAAACUAUGGGUACUAGGUAUAGGGAGUAUCGACCCUCUCUGUGCCGAAGCUAACGC
rnacentral:rRNA from 1 species